CAUAAAGCUGUAGAUUUUCUUUUUCGUCCUUACAGCACUGGUGAAAAGAACAAUGGAAUCCCUUCAGCAAACCACAGCCUUGGAAGUGCCACUGAAGGUUCCCUUGAAAGUGCUUCUUACCACUGGGAAAUCAUGGGGGUGUAUGACAGAAUUGCAGGAGAUGUAAAACAGUCAUCAGGGAUGUUAUUCAGUACCCGUACACCUCAUUGGCCCGUGCUGAUUCCUCACUGAAUCACUAGGCAACAGCGCUGCUGGAUCUUUCAUAAGCACCUAAUACUCUGCAUGUGAAUUUUUUUUACUUCAUUUUGUCUGUAGCCCUAGGCAACAGCAGUGAGAUAAAACUGGAUUUUACCAGUUCAUUGUGUUUCCUUUAGCCAAGGUAACCAGCAGGGAGCUGCUUUUGUUCAGAGCUAAACUGCUACAUGCAAGAAAUGAAGCAAGACAAUAUUAACCCUUUGGGAACAUGACAAAUAUAUUUGAGUUAAAUGGAUGUUUAGAUUAUAAUACUAAAUAUUUGGUGAAGUGCCUUUGUAAAAAUACAUAAAAUCUGGAAUUAGAAAGACACUAUUUGAACUGUACCAGCAGCUGCUUAACUGUUGCAUUCAGCUUAUUCUAUAAUUUGUGAGUAGAUGGCAGCUGCUGUAUGUCUUUUUCCAGAGACUUAGAAAAGAGUUCCUUACAAGUGAGUUUUACUUUACUUUGUAUUUAGAAUUUUAGAGUAAAAUGAAAACUGCAUUAAAUGUGUUAAAAAAAAAUAGCCAGAUUGAUGUCAAUUCUAUUAAUUUCGAACUCAGAUUGUACACUGUAGCUUUAGCAUACUUUUGAGGAGGUAUUUUAGUUUUCCCUGGUCUAUUAAUUUUAUUAUUGAUAUAAUGCUAAAUACAGCUUAGAUAAAUGUUGAGAUUCAGACUUACACUUUAAAGGAUUCAAGCUUC